GGGAGAGCGACCUGUGGAGUCCCUAGUGACACACUGGGCAGCGAGACCCCCGCUGAGGCUUCAUCUGAAAACAAAGUCAGGAGCAGUUGCGUUUGCUGUUCCCGCAGCCAUGCAAAGGAGCAGCGGGGCAGAGGCGCAGCUUGGCCCCGGUUGUGGCCGGAGGGCCUGUGCCCCGUCUUCGGCGUCCCCCUCUGCUUCAAGACGGAGAUCUCUGUCCUGCGGCCCGGCAGACGAUGCCAUGAACCAUUACAACCGAAGCCUGGCUCUUCUGACCUCCGACUCGGCGAGCUACCUUCUGCCUGCUGGGCUUGGGGCAGCUUGUCCACAGGGCAGCACUGGUGAGCAUUUCCAGUCCACUCAACCGUUCAGGUUGGGAUUCUGACAUGUGAGUCUUUGGACCCUGCCCAGCUCAAGCCCAUCUUGCAAAACGGCCUUGACAUGCUGAUGAAAUUCGAUUUCUUUACUCGUCCGUCUCGCUGAGGACCGGCUCACAGAUCGUAUUUAAGAGCACCAUAGGACGCUCUCGACUGCUGACUGGUGUCUUCCAACCAAUAACUUCCGGCAUUCUCUGGGACAAAGGUUCACAACAGCUAAGGAUCCUAACUAGGUGUGGAUUAUAGAGGGUUUUGUUUAUUUCAUUGAGGUCUGAGCCAAUCAACACUCUGCAGGAUGUGGGAUUGGACAGGGCCGCCCCGUGACUGUCAAAAUCCAGACUUGUGUGGUCAUCACGGAGCCUCCUUGUGCCCUCAGGAGGAGAACCAAGGACCGUGCCCUGGAGGAUUCUCCUGUGUACCUGACCUGGCAUUUGGACAGUUUUCCGUUAUGUACUCUGUAGUGAUACACAGCUCUAGAACUCAGUACUCAAGGGACCAGCAGAGGAGGGAAACUGGAACAUCAAUGCCCCUCUCUGAUGCGUGGGUGAACCCUAGUGAUCCUUUUUCAGAAUGGUGUUUCUAAAUGUAUAAUAAAUACUUUGAAUUACAAAA
ensembl:lncRNA